rnacentral:rRNA from 1 species
CCUACGGGUGGCAGCAGUGGGGAAUAUUGCACAAUGGGGGCGACCCUGAUCCAGCGACGUCGCGUGAGUGAAGAAGUAUUUAGGGAUGUAAAGCUCUAUUAGCAGGGAAGAAGAAAGACGGUACCUGACUAAGAAGCACCGGCUAACUACGUGCCAGCAGCCGCGGUACUACGUAGGGGGCAAGCGUUAUCCGGGUUUACUGGGUUUAACGGGAGCGUAGACGGCUGUGCAAGUCUGAAGUGAAAGCCCAGGGCUCAACCCUGGGACUGCUUUGGAAACUGUGGAGCUAGAGUGCUGGAGAGGUAAGUGGAAUUCCUGGUGUAGCGGUGAAAUGCGUAGAUAUUAGGAGGAACACCAGUGGCGAAGGCGGCUUACUGGACAGUAACUGACGUUGAGGCUCGAAAGCGUGGGGAGCAAACAGGAUUAGAUACCCCAGUAGUC